UUCCACUAUGCCGAAGCCCUUGCACAAAGAUGUAAAGCAAAUGGACGAUAAUUUAGUGGACUAUUUUGCUAAAGAACGCGAUAGCGGGGGACCUCUUUUACCACUAACAGCUGUUCAAGACAGGGUUGCUGCUGCUCUGGGUGUAUGUGUGCGAACAGUGAACUCCGUGGUACAACAAAUAAAAACCGGAGAAGGUGUACAUUCUCCCAAGAAAUAGAGACCCCCGAACAAAGCAAGUGUGUGAUAUUAGCACUUCGGAGCACUGUGCUAUUCGAUAAUGCUUAUAUGGAAUGGUCGAAAAAAAAAUACAUGUUACACGAUCGCCAUUAAUUGAUUGCUUGAAGGAGAAACAUAUAUUUGAGGG